UACAGAGGUCCCAAGCGUUGUUCGGAUUCACUGGGCGUAAAGGGUGCGUAGGCGGUCGGGCAAGUCUGAUGUGAAAUCUCACAGCUUAACUGUGAAACUGCAUUGGAUACUAUCCGGCUAGAGGAAUGGAGGGGAGACGGGAAUACUUGGUGUAGCAGUGAAAUGCGUAGAUAUCAAGUGGAACACCAGUGGCGAAGGCGAGUCUCUGGACAUUUCCUGACGCUGAGGCACGAAAGCCAGGGGAGCAAACGGG
rnacentral:rRNA from 1 species